UGCAAGUCGAGCGAGAAAGCUCCUUCGGGAGUGAGUAAAGCGGCGCACGGGUGAGUAACACGUAGGUUACCUGCCUUACAGUGGAGCACAACCUGUCGAAAGAUGGGCUAAUUCUCCAUACGUCCCACCUCGUGGGAGAAAGAGGACCUCUCCUUGGAAGUUCUCGCUGUUAGAUGGGCCUGCGCAGCAUUAGCUUGUUGGUGGGGUAAUGGCCUACCAAGGCGACGAUGCUUAGCUGAUCUGAGAGGACGAUCAGUCACACUGGAACUGAGACACGGUCCAGACUCCUACGGGAGGCAGCAGUGGGGAAUAUUGCGCAAUGGGCGAAAGCCUGACGCAGCAACGCCGCGUGAGGGAAGAAGGUUUUCGGAUCGUAAACCUCUGUCAGGAGGGAAGAAACAGUCUGUACUUAAUACGUGCAGGCCUUGACGGUACCUCCAGAGGAAGCACCGGCUAACUCCGUGCCAGCAGCCGCGGUAAUACGGAGGGUGCAAGCGUUGCUCGGAAUUACUGGGCGUAAAGCGCGUGUAGGCGGCCAAAGGAGUCAGGUGUGAAAGCCCUGGGCUCAACCCAGGAAGUGCGCCUGAAACCAUUUGGCUUGAGAAUCAGAGGGGAGCAUGGAAUUCCAAGUGUAGAGGUGAAAUUCGUAGAUAUUUGGAGGAACACCGGUGGCGAAGGCGAUGCUCUGGAUGAUUUCUGACGCUGAGACGCGACAGCGUGGGUAGCAAACAGGAUUAGAUACCCUGGUAGUCCACGCCGU
rnacentral:rRNA from 1 species